rnacentral:lncRNA from 1 species
CUUAAAAAUCUUAUGAGGGUUGCUGUAAGUCAAAUGAGACUCAAUGAGCAGUCUGCAGAGCAUAGUUAAGCCUUCACUAACCUUAAACAAGUCACAAUUCUUGGUCCCUGUUCUAAAAUCCUCUUCUGAUCUUCUUGAAUGCAGGGGAUCCCUUGUGUAAUACAUCUGUGACCGAAUCUCAAGCAUUCCUGGGUCUUCUGGAACAAAGAGCAUUAUCUUGUAAAUCAAGACUGAUCUGAAAUACUACUCCAACCACCACCCUCUUCGUCGCCAUACUUGGUCACAAUGGUGGGCUUGUCUGAAACUGGAGAGUACAGAAUAUGCCACCGUCGCUGCCUAUGUGUCUUGUGAAUGGAGGUGUCCAUUGCUGAAUCAACCUAACAGGCAGGGUCUGGAAAAGUUACUCUUUUGGACCACAACGCUGACAGUUCCUACCACCUGGGGAUUGUGGGAGUUGUAGUCCCACCUGCAAACCCUUCUGAAGCUCUGCUAACCAGCUACUUGUGCUAACAUGCAUUCCUGACAGACAGCGCUUUGUAAUAAAACAUGUGGUCUGAUUGUUCCUUUAAAUGAA